CCGUGAGGGCAAGCCAACCACAGAAAAGCCAUCUCAGUUCGGAUUGUAGUCUGCAACCCGACUACAUGAAGCUGGAAUCGCUAGUAAUCGCAGAUCAGAAUGCUGCGGUGAAUACGUUCCCGGGUCUUGUACACACCGCCCGUCACACCAUGGGAGUUGGAAAUGCCCGAAGCCAGUGACCCAACCGUAAGGAGGGAGCUGUCGAAGGUGGAGCCGAUGACUGGGGUGAAGUCGUAACAAGGUAGC
rnacentral:rRNA from 1 species